rnacentral:rRNA from 1 species
AUUGAACGCUGGCGGCAGGCCUAACACAUGCAAGUCGAGCGAGCGGCGGACGGGUGAGUAAUGUAUGGGGACUGCCCGAUAGAGGGGGAUAACUACUGUAAACGUUAGCUAAUACCGCAUACUAUCGGAUAACCCAUAUGGGAUUAGCGAGUAGGUGCGGUAAUGGCUCACCUAGGCGACGAUCCCUAGCUGGUUUGAGAGGACGGCCAGACACACGGGGACUGAGACACGGCCCAGACUCCUACGGAGGCAGCAGUGGGGAAUGUUGGACAAUGGGGGAAACCCUGAUCCAGCCAUCCCGAGUGUAUGAUGAAGGACUGAGGGUUGUAAAGUACUGUGGGCAGAGAAGCGGUAUCUGCAGAAUAAGCACCGGCUAACUACGUGCCAGCAGCCGCGGUAAUUC